UUUACAUUGACUUUGUAAGUUUCAUAAGUUCUAUUUAUAUAAUUGAUAUUGCAUCAUUUUUGGCACUUUGUAAAAUGUGGUCAUUAUGUAUAUCAAAUUGAAAGUCUAAAUGAGCUCUACUUCAAAAUAAAAAUUUCAAACCCCUUUUUCAUCCCAGUGGGAAGGAUGGGGUCAUUUAGUGCAAAAAAUUCAAACUUCUCAGAUGGUUAGGUUGUCGCAUAUCAAAUGAAAGUCCAUAAAGCGUACAUUUCAAAUAUGAAAUUGACGUCCCCAAAAAAUGGGUUGGAUGGGGUCAUUGAGUGCAAAAAAUAAAUUUUCUUUUAAGAUAAGGUUGUUGUAUAUCAAAUGAAAGGUCUUAACGUGUACAUUUCAAAUAUCAAAUUCCUGUCCUCCAAAAAUGAGUUGGAUAGGGUUAUUUAGUGCAAAAAUCAAACUUUCUAGAACAUGGUGCUGUCGCAUAUCAAAUGAAAGAUCAAGUCUAAAUUACAUAUAUCAUACUUCCAAUCUCGAAAAUAUAGGCGGAUGGGGUCAUUAAGUGUAAUAAGCGAAAAGUUUCAGAAGGUAUGCUUGUCGUAUAUUUAAGGUCUUUCCACUCCGUUAGGAAAGACCUUAUUGUUUUUCUUUUUUUUUUUUUUUAAGGUCUUUCCACUCCGUUAGGAAAGACCUUAUUGUUUUUCUAAUGUUUUUUUUUUCUUUCUUUUUUUAAGGUCUUUCCACUCCGUUAGGAAAGACCUUAUUGUUUUUCUAAUGUUUUUUUUUUUUUCUUUUUUUUUUUAAGGUCUUUCCACUCCGUUAGGAAAGACCUUAUUGUUUUUCUAAUGUUUUUUUUUCUUCUUUUUAAGGUCUUUCCACUCCGUUAGGAAAGACCUUA